GCCGUAGCGCGACGCGAUCAACGUACAGAUGUCUUUGGAUCAUCGAUCGGUGUACACGCGUACAAUCUGUGUGUACACACUUUCGCGUACACACGCGUUAUUCUCUCGUCUUCCGGCACGAUAACUCCAAUGUGAAAAAAGUACACGAUUUUUUUUUUUUUUUUUAUUAUUAUGAUUUCGAUCGUUGAUGACGACGAUCCGCACGUAUACAGUUGGUGAAAUUUACGAGUCGCGCGCGCGCGCACCGCAUCAACGUUCAGUCGAACGGAAUGAAACGAUCGUAUGAAUAGUACCUAACCCCUGAACAUUGUAACUGGUUCGCAUCAUAUUAUAUCGAGUAGGACAGGAAGAAUGGAAGGGAGAGAGAGAGUGAAAAAGUGAAAUCACUUAUUUACUAAAUCUACUCGGCUAUGGCUGCAAGUAUACACGAAUGUCAUUUAUUCAGUAAAAAAAUCGAACAAAAAUUGUAUAUUUCUCUGACAACAAUUAACAAACCAUAUACUACGGAACAUUAUCCAAGAAAUUGGUAGCCAUUUGAACCGAUGGCCUAAAUAACGCGGGUAAAAAGUUCGGAAACGUACCGUGUUCGUUUGACCGUUAACGUUCACACGAUUGUUACGCGACGUAAUCGCUGUACGACGACGACGUUGCGGUGCGUACCGGACGACCGGAAGGGACGAAAGGGGUACCGAUAGUGACCUUGAGAUAAUGGCGAGGAGAAGUGAAGACGAGCGAGAGGCGGAGAGGUGAGCUUCUCUGGCGUACCGUUUACGUGCGCGCAAUAAGAAGGUGUAGCGAAAAAGACGGCAGCCUACGCCGCCGCGUUACCGCCGUGGUAACCGUCACGCGGCCGGCGCGUCGGUUUCACGCGGCAUGUGCGGUAAGCGCACGGCACACGGGCGAGAGCGCACAACUGGGCGGGCGCCGCG
rnacentral:lncRNA from 1 species